AUGGUUAUUUUUAGCUACCAUGUCACCAUAGUGAUGCGCUAUACCAAGGGAGCGUGUUACUACGGUGACAUAGAGGUGGUGUCACGGUUUUUGCCCGCAGACGCUACAUUGCAGUAGUGGGUUGCUACAGCUACAUAGUGUCACUGUGUAAGUCUCCCCUGAGA